rnacentral:rRNA from 1 species
UAGGGAAUCUUCCGCAAUGGGCGAAAGCCUGACGGAGCAACGCCGCGUGAGUGAUGAAGGGUUUCGGCUCGUAAAACUCUGUUAUUAGGGAAGAACAAAUGUGUAAGUAACUGUGCACAUCUUGACGGUACCUAAUCAGAAAGCCACGGCUAACUACGUGCCAGCAGCCGCGGUAAUACGUAGGUGGCAAGCGUUAUCCGGAAUUAUUGGGCGUAAAGCGCGCGUAGGCGGUUUCUUAAGUCUGAUGUGAAAGCCCACGGCUCAACCGUGGAGGGUCAUUGGAAACUGGGAAACUUGAGGGCAGAAGAGGAAAGUGGAAUUCCAUGUGUAGCGGUGAAAUGCGCAGAGAUAUGGAGGAACACCAGUGGCGAAGGCGACUUUCUGGUCUGUAACUGACGCUGAUGUGCGAAAGCGUGGGGAUCAAACAGG